GUGCUCGCUUCAGCAGCACCUAUACUAAAAUUGGAACAAUAUAGAGAUUAGCAUGGCCCCUGAGCAAGGAAGACACGCAAAUUCGUGAAGCAUUCCAUAUUUUU